AGUGGGGGAUAACGUAGCGAAAGUUACGCUAAUACCGCAUAUGCCCUGAGGGGGAAAGGAGGGGAUCGUAAGACCUUUCGCUUUCGGAGUGGCCGAUAUCAGAUUAGCUAGUUGGUGGGGUAAAGGCCCACCAAGGCGACGAUCUGUAGCGGGUCUGAGAGGAUGAUCCGCCACACUGGGACUGAGACACGGCCCAGACUCCUACGGGAGGCAGCAGUGGGGAAUUUUGGACAAUGGGGGCAACCCUGAUCCAGCCAUGCCGCGUGAGUGAAGAAGGCCUUCGGGUUGUAAAGCUCUUUCGGACGGAAAGAAAUCCUAUUCGCUAAUACCGGGUGGGGAUGACGGUACCGUAAGAAGAAGCACCGGCUAACUACGUGCCAGCAGCCGCGGUAAUACGUAGGGUGCGAGCGUUAAUCGGAAUUACUGGGCGUAAAGCGUGCGCAGGCGGUUUUGUAAGACAGAUGUGAAAUCCCCGGGCUUAACCUGGGAACUGCAUUUGUGACUGCAAGGCUAGAGUGCGGCAGAGGGGGGUAGAAUUCCA
rnacentral:rRNA from 1 species